UACGGAGGGUGCAAGCGUUAUCCGGAUUCACUGGGUUUAAAGGGUGCGUAGGCGGACAGGUAAGUCAGUGGUGAAAUCUCUGGGCUUAACUCAGAAACUGCCAUGGAUACUAUUUGUCUUGAAUGUUGUGGAGGUAAGCGGAAUAUGUCAUGUAGCGGUGAAAUGCUUAGAUAUGACAUAGAACACCGAUUGCGAAGGCAGCUUACUAGGCUGUAACUGACGCUGAGGCACGAAAGCGUGGGGAUCAAACAGG
rnacentral:rRNA from 1 species